AGACAUUAGAAUGAGGUUAAAUAGGUAUAGCAAACUUGAUAUAGUCCCAGAGCAGCCACUGUGGUGAAUGUGUCUGUUAGGUUUUGGAUCAUGUGUUUUCAAUUUGUAUUCAAGAAUGUAAGCCCUAUGAAUUAUUGUUUACUCCACAGGGUUGUAAUUAUUAGAAGAAGAUUAAUAAUUACAAUCAUAUUAUUGCUGUGAUGUUUAUUCUAUAUCGGUCACUGAGAGCAAAAAGGUUCUCAGGUCACAUCGGGUUAAUGAGCAGACACAGGAACAAAGGUUUGUUUCAAUUCUCACCCAAUACCCAUCGACACCUCACACAGGAAUGUCGGGUCGUAAAGCUCAUACGGAAGAGACCCCAGCUGUGUUGUGUAAAUGACUUCAGCUGUGUUGUGUAAAUGACUUGCUUCAAUAAAAGGACUGUCGGAGGAGAACUGAGCCAGAGUGUUUUGGGUGAGUGCAGGAGGCACAGCUCAGGACAUUCUCCUUGGACAAGUAAAACUACGCGCCCGAGUCUGUCAUCUGUGGUCAUUGGAGUUGGUCUGGUAAUUUAACUAGCGGGGCUUUAUCUUUAAGGUGAAAACCCCACAUUAAUUGGUCCUUCGAGCCGGAUCCCAAUACAUUGUCAACGGAAAAGAGGGAGGGGAAGACACGCCGAAGUCUGUCGACAGCCAGGGUCUUAGCCGAUCUUGUCAAAGUCCCGGGACGUGAAUUCGUGGCCGGGCCGGUGUCUUUAUUGUCCAACCUCCUUCUUUCCUGAGACGAUUGACGGGAUCCAGAUCCAACCAGUGACUUCAGAUAACAGGUAAGGAACGGUUUCUCCACCGAAAGGAGGUUUGAUAGUGGUUCUGUAGGUCUGUGCUCCAUGUGUGUGCUGGAUGUCUGAGUCUGUGCAAGUGAAGUCCUCCAGGUGAAAGUGUGUAGGAGUCCGGAGGCGUUUCCUGACUCGUUAACAGGGAUGCUGAGUGCGAGAGGUCUGUGAAAGGUUUCUUGAUAUUAAUCAAGCAGACCGAGUGCGAACUCUCCGUGAAAAGCUCCAGUGAUUAAUUGAGUGAAGCAAAGACUCAUUAACAUAUAAGACUGAGUGCGGGAUGAUUUACACUCCCAGUGAAAAGCUUUAUGGGUAAUUGAGCAAUUUUUGUGUGACAGGGAGAAGUCUCGUGGCCACUGAGCAGUGUGAGUGUGUUUGUUGCUUUGGAGUACAGACUGAGAUGUAUGUAAUAUAUAUUGUAAUUCUUGUGUGAAACAUCAUAGCCAAUAGAGGGACUAAAUAGAGUUGAAACAUAAACUGAAGAAAUACCACCACAUAAUUGUGAAUGAAUGUCGAAUGCCAGUGAAUGAAUGUUGAAUGCAAGUAAUUGAAUACUUUUGAUAAAAUUGUUGAUGACAGCCUCGCUGUGCUCAGCUGCGCGGCCCCUCCCCUACUCACUUAGCUGCGCGCGCCGAGUCACAAUACAGAGAGCAGCCUCGCAGGACAGUGACUGAAGAAUUAUUUUGAGGAUAACUAUUAUUUAGUAGAGGGUGCGACCAUCCGUUACUUUUUGAAAUGUUGUUUUAAAUAAAUGCAUUAUUUUGCCAAUUUUUACUUUUUAAAUUAAUUGAUCAAUUGCCCGGCUAGUUCCGUCGGUAGAGCAUGAGACUCUUAAUCUCAGGGUUGUGGGUUAUUCAUUUUUAAAUUGAUCCUUUUAAUUUUUUAUAGUUACCUAUUUUAUCUUUUUUAUGAGUUUUCCUCAGUCCCAAAGAUUGGUUGAGAGAGCCAAUCAAACUUUAGAGCAAACAGCAGCAUUUGUAGAAACAGCAGAGGGGGAGCAAGAGGACGGGGAGGUCAUAAAAGAGGCCGAGAUAAGGGCGGCAACAGAGGACGCCAGGGAGAAGGAAAUGAGUAUGGUAAAUUCCUGUGUUACAGAUGCGGACAAGAAGGGCAUAUGGCCAGGGAAUGUAAAGAAAACAGACCCGAGGGAGGUGAUGGUCAGUAUAGGAAAAAACAAUACUCAGAUGAGAAAGAUCACAGAAACCCAAGACAAAGAGACAUGAUGCAGUUCUUAGGUUUGACUAAUUACUGUCACCUUAACACAACCAUUGUUGGACAAUCUACACUGACGACAUGACCAUGACAGGAAAGAUACAAUGGACACCAGCGGCAGAUAAUGCUUUCGAGGCUACGAAACGUUGCCUCGUGGGCUCAUCUGUCCUGGCAUUACCCGAUUAUGACAAACCAUUAGAACAGUAUCCUGUGAUGACCUAUGAGAAGACUGCAGUGGGUGAGAAAGGGUCCCCAGAAGAGGGGGACUCCACCACUUAUUUGAACAUUGGGAAAACCUAUUAGACCCUACCCCUUUAAAAUUGACCAAAGUAGUUCACACCUAUCAGGUGUGAAAAGGGGGAUUUGUAGAAAUAGAUUAACAGAAAAUAGGUCAUAUAUAGAUACUUUAGAAUUAUAGUGCAACACUGAGCACAUUGGCCCUGUGUUGACCACACACACACACACACACACACACACACACACACACACACACACACACACACGACUAACCUUUUAAAAGUAAACUUGUACUCCCAGCCAGCUUGUACAACACAGCUGGCUAUUUGAGUCAUGGGCCAUGCCAUGUCUCAACAGGAGGGAUGGUACGGAUGAUAAAUAUGCACUUCCAUACAUACAAUUAAACUAAAUUUUCAAAAAUCUUUUGUAGUAUGUUGCAGACAGAAUGCACAAGGAAUGUGUGUCUCUGGUUGAAACAUAGAUGAGAAUUACGCUAACUCCACAGGGGGUGUCACCUUUUAAAAUAGUGAUAGGGAGGCAGUUUAGACUGCCAAUUAUAGACACUAUGAGAGAGGUAGAUGAGGCGGAGACGGAGCACACACUAGCUGACUGGAUGAGCCGUCUUUGAAAAACAACGAGAUCGCUCGAACAAAUAACAUCUCUGCCAGACAUCUCGGCUAGACAUCUCUGCUCCCCUCCAGAACACCCGUGUGGAGCCAGACGACCAGGUCCUCAUCAAGGUGGUGAAAAGAAAACAUUGGCACCAUCCAUGCUGGGAAGGUCCAUUCACCGUCUUGCUGACCACUCCAACGGCGUUAAAAAUUGCAGAGCGGAACACCUGGAUACAUCAGAGCCACUGCAAGAAGGUAAUACCUCUCCAGGCAGACGACGGGUUUGUGGUGUGAAGUCCGGUUACAAAGGGUGGUGGUUCGUUUAGGGGCCACUAAUCUCAACCCGGUGAAGAAAUCAACUGAGCCACAUCCAUUAGGAAAAUGCUUGGUGAGGUGUUACUUGCAGUAGCCACAGUUGCUGCGACCCUAGAGGUCAGAGGACUGCUGAACUCUGACGAACUGCAUUCAAGGCAGAAAAGAUGGACACAUCUGAAAAACGACCCCUGGGGUCGGGACAGCGAAGAAGAGAAACAACCACGGCUGAAGAAUAAAUGUUUUUUUGUAUAUGCAUAUGGGAAAACAAAUUGCUAUAUGUGUUCUGUGUUGCUUACUUCCUCUGACCAGGUGACCUCCAUGGCAAAGUGAUGAGCAGAUUGCAGGCUAAAUGUUUUUCAUCCAUGGCAGGGGGAGGUUACGAUAUCACCCCCCACGCUCCAGGUUUGAGAAAUGGGAUAUGUGAAGCCGAAUUUUGGGUAAACUGGAACCAUACUGUUAGAGGGAAAUCUUUUCCACAACAGCUGAUCAUGCGAGGCAAGGAGCAACAUCCAAUGUGUACAACAUGUUAACCAGGUCUGAAUAUGAGAAAAACACAGUACAAAGCUAAAAAAUGAAAAACAGGAGGGAAUGUUAGGUUUUGGAUCAUGUGUUUUCAAUUUGUAUUCAAGAAUGUAAGCCCUAUGAAUUAUUGUUUACUCCACAGGGUUGUAAUUAUUAGAAGAAGAUUAAUAAUUACAAUCAUAUUAUUGCUGUGAUGUUUAUUCUAUAUCGGUCACUCUGAGAGCAAAAAGGUUCUCGGGUCACAUCGGGUUAAUGAGCAGACACAGGAACAAAGGUUUGUUUCAAUUCUCACCCAAUACCCAUCGACACCUCACACAGGAAUGUCGGGUCGUAAAGCUCAUACGGAAGAGACCCCAGCUGUGUUGUGUAAAUGACUUCAGCUGUGUUGUGUAAAUGACUUGCUUCAAUAAAAGGACUGUCGGAGGAGAACUGAGCCAGAGUGUUUUGGGUGAGUGCAGGAGGCACAGCUCAGGACAUUCUCCUUGGACAAGUAAAACUA